GCUGUCUCCCUCUCUGAGAGAGGAGAAGAGACAGAGGGAAGAGGGAGGGGAGGAGAGAGAGGGAGAGGGAGAGGGAGAGGGGAGAGAGGGAAUGGCCUGUGUUGGGGUUUGGAUGAGUCAGUGGUGGGCCCAGUCAGCAACAGCUGGGUCUCUAGUGUCGCUUUAUCUCCCAGCCAAUCCCAAUGCUCUGCCUUCCAGCCUUCCAGCCUCCCAGCUUCCAGCCUCCCAACCUCCAAGCUUCCAGUCUCCCAGCUCCUAGCCUCCCAGCUCAUAGCCUCUCAGCUUCCAGCCUCCCAGCCUCCAGCCUUCCAGCCUCCAGCUUUCCAGCCUCCGAGCUUCGAGCCUCCUAGCUUCCAGCCUGUCAGCCUUUCAGCCUCCUAGCCUCCAAGGCUCCCAGCUUCCAGCCCAGUCUGAGUUAUGACAGCUCAGGGAUGGCAAGCAGCCUAAUUACAAUGGCUGAUUGCCUCUCUACUUGCCUCUCUAUUUCUUACAAGGCGAUUGUCAUGUGCGUGAGCAGGUCUGGAGACCCGGAGGAAUAGGAAGAGGGAGGAUUUUCAUUGGCUCGCCUCUCUUCCUCUCUUGGUUCAGGGCAAAGAGAAGUUUUUUUUAUGACAUUUGGCUGGAAGCCAGCGAGACAGGUGAUUUUGUUGCACAAUGGUAGAUUAUAGCUGUUCAGUCUUUGGCGCCAUUACAUUUGUGAGUUGUAUCAAAGUAAUGUCAUGCAGGGGAGAGACUGGAUUAUGAUUUUUUUUGCACAGUAUAAUUUCUGAAGUAAUUGAUCUUGAAACCAUCUUAUUUUACUGUCCUGGAAAGUUGGUGACUUCUAACCGCAAGAGAUAAAGAAAUAUCCAUAGGAAGCCUUUUAGAGGGUUUAGAAAUCAGGGCAGAAUUAUUAUUAUUGAGCAUAUUUAUUUCCAAAAGGACAGAAGUAAGGCCUUGAAUUGGCCGUUUGUAUGUAAGUCUGUCAGAGAGAGCACUGUGAAGUGUGAUGUGUGUGUUAAGUGGGAGCUGCUUUGGGUUGGUCUGGACGGCUUUGUCUACUGCUUUGGCUUUUGUUCCUAUAGUAAUGAAUUGUGGAGGCCUUGGCUUGAGUCGGCCUGUCUCACAGCAACUAAAGACAGAGUGCUGGCAAGGCAAAGGGAGAGAAGGGCAGAGAGGAUCAUGGGUGUAUGUUUGUCUCUCUGGGGGCAGACAGACAAACAGACAGACAGACCACGCCGUGUCAGUCUAGCACAGUGAAGAAUACUUUGUUCUGCAUGCAAAGAGGAUAUAAACUUAUUUGCUUUGUAUCAUAUUAUCUAUUACCUCCAGAUAACACAAAGAUUGACCACGAAGAUCACAAUUGUUUUAUUCACUAUAAUGAGGGAUCCUGUUUUCUGCUAACAAUCUCUGCAAUACCGCGGUCAGCCUUGAACUUCCGUGGCUUCAGUGAGAGAGGGGCAGUUGUUCUCCCCUGAGCUAACCUGAUUAAGCAGAGGUUGACGUUACUAAAUCCUUUUGAACAUCAAGUUCUGUUGUUGAUUAAUGAAAAGCCUGUUCCCCUGUAUAUUCAUAUGCAGACCGCUGCAGCCUAGCCAUGUUGACCCUGUGACCCAGACACUACCUGUCUGCUGACAUGGUUACAAGGAUGGAGCAGGUUCAGGGGCCUGACUCCAGGGAUCACUUUGCCUGCGUUAACAAUCAGCAUUGCACCCUCACGGCAGUAAAACAACCACCCUGCUGCCUCACGGGCCAGGAGAGACCGAUCUAAUCUCGAAGAGCUCUGCGAACAGUGAGCACUGGGUGUCUGACACCAUUUGAAAGCGCUUCUUUGGUUUGCAAUGGCCUAACGAACUGGCUCACAGUAUGAAGCAUUGGGCUUUGUUGUGAAGGGAAAAUAUCUUGUCACUUUUUCUGAUGUUGUAUUUCAUCCGAUGGAUUGUUAGCACUGACUUUGUUGUUCAAAGGGCUUUGUGCUGUGACUUAGAUACCAUAUUUAAUGAUAUGUAUUUUGUCCCCAGUGUUACAUAGAGUGACCAGGAUGAAGAGAGAACUGAUUCAAUAGACUAGAAGAAAUGCAGUGACUUGCACUGUUGCAGGUGUCCACCAGAUGCUGCAUGCAGAUAGAGAGGCAAGCGAAGCCGGCAGAGAGGCAAGCAGACUGCACUGUCUCAGGUCUUGCCAGGAAAUGCAUUGGAUGGAGAUGUAACAUCCACUUCUAAUCAAGAUCCUGUGGGCAGGAUUGGAACAGCAAGUGGCUCUCCAGGGACAGUACAGACUGUAGGAUCAAAAAUGAUUUAUUUCUUUGUGCGUCAUGCAAACCAAUCAAUUCUUGCCUCACAAUUAAACAUAAUUAACAUGAAGUGGCAUGACUUGCUAUGCUUUUUUUUUUUUACAUGUUGGAAGUUACUGGUGUAGCCCUUCACACGUGUCUUUAUACAGGUGGAAAAUGGCAGAUUUGGGCACUGAUAAAUGCCUAAAUCGGAACAUAAUGGCUGUACAGUAACAUGCUAUACAUGACGUCAAAGCUAUUUCUCUGCGCUUCACAGUGCUGUAUGGGUUUUGACUGACAAAUCAAAUACAUUUUUAUUUGUCACAUGCGCCGAAUACAACAGGUGUAGUAGACCUUACAGUGAAAUGCUUACUUACAAGCCCUUAACCAACAAUGCAGUUAAAAAAAUACCCCACAAAAUAAGAAUAAGUAAUAAAAGUAACAAAUAAUUUAAGAGCAGCAGUAAAUAACAAUAGCGAGGCUAUAUGCAGGGGGUACCGGAACAGAGUCAAUGUGCGGGGGCACCAGUUAGUCGAGGAAAUUGAGGUAAUAUGUACAUGUAGGUAGAGUUAUUAAAGUGACUAUGCAUAGAUAAUAACAGAGAGUAGCAGCAGCGUAAAAGAGAGGGGGGGGGGGGUCAAUGCAAAUAGUCUGGGUAGCCAUUUGAUUAGAUGUUCAGGAGUCUUAUGGCUUGGGGGUAGAAGCUGUUUAGAAGCCUCUUGUACCUAGACUUGGUGCUCCGGUACCGCUUGCCAUGCGGUACCGAAAGGGUCUGUCACAGUAGAGCAACUUAAAGGCCAGUGCACUCAAAAAUGACAUUUCCCUAUGUUUUAUAGAUAUUUCCACACUAUGAGGUUGGAAUAAUUCUGUAAAAUUGUGAAAAUUAUGAUAAUGCCGUUUUAGUGUAAGAGCUGUUUAAAAAGAUCACCUGAAAUUUCAGCCUGUUUUGGUGGGAUGGAGUUUUGGCCUGCCUGGCGAUAUCAACAGGCAGUAUUAGUUAAGAGUUUCAAGCCACUCUGCCAAUAACAGCAAUUUGUUUAGGCUACAUAACCCUCUCAUUAGGCUCGUCCAAUUAGGCCUUCACUCAGACCACUGCCAGACAGUCCUAGCAAAAUUCCUGCUUGAGAAAUUGCUCUUUGCACAGAAGCAAUUUUUUAUUUAAAUUUUUUUAAAUUAAAUUUGGGGAAAAAUAACAGUGAAGUACUUAAUUGUUAACCAGAAAUGAUUUGAUAUUCAGAUAAAAACGGCUGCAUUGGGCCUUUAACAGUGAAGACAGGGACAAAGCCAGGCCUGCGCAAUGCAUGCUGGGAAGUUUGGCUGCCAGAGAAAGUGCCUAAGUUCCAGCCAGCGUGGCUGAAACCCUUGCUAAGGCUGAAAAUGAAGUUUGAGAGUGGAAAUGAGAGGAGCAACAAAAGAGAGAGAGCGAGAGAGCGAGAAAGAGAGAGAGAGCUAAAGUGCUCAUGGCUGUAGGCUCAGUGUGCUCUUAAAGAGAUAUUACCAAAACAUUCCUGAAGCAUUGAGAAAGAAGGGGACAGUACAGUAUAGCACAACUUAGCAGUAUAGACAGCGUUUAGAAUCUUGGUUUACUGCUUUUGUUGGGGAAUAUUUUUGACAGGGACAUUUUCACUAUUCAAGAUUAAAUAAGAAUGUACAAUGUACAAUGUAACACAUUGUUUCAUAGGACUGACUACUUUUAUACCUGAAGAUGCACGAGGUGAAAGAUUUGCACAAAUAAUUUACCAUGUUAUGUGCAAUGUUAAGCAUUAAUGUGACAAGCUAAGGGGAAGGUUUUAGCACAGUUCAUUUUGAAUUAGUUUCCAAAUCUAAUGCUUGUAUAAAAUAAACAAACAGUCAACUAUGUAACAACCUUUUAUUCAAUAGUCAUAUACAAGUUAUUCAAAUGUUCACAAUAAAGUUUAAACAUGUAAUAAUAAUGUAAUUCCAUUUAAUAAUGUUUCCUAUCAACAAAAAGAUCCCCAAACUUUCUCUCCCACCUUCAAGAUAAAAGUGGAAGUUGAACUUGAAUUUGGAAGUUGAACUUCCAUCACAGGUUGUGAUAAAAAACAAGUCAUUGAAACCAUGAACAACAGAUCAACUUUUUCCACAUAGAAUACACUGUACUGUAUUAUAUUUUAUUAUCCGUAUUGUAUUAUAAUUAAAACAUACUAUAUA